CGCCGUAAACGAUGUCGACUUGGAGGUUGUGCCCUGGAGGCGUGGCUUCCGGAGCUAACGCGUUAAGUCGACCGCCUGGGGAGUACGGCCGCAAGGUUAAAACUCAAAUGAAUUGACGGGGGCCCGCACAAGCGGUGGAGCAUGUGGUUUAAUUCGAUGCAACGCGAAGAACCUUACCUACUCUUGACAUCCAGAGAACUUAGCAGAGAUGCUUUGGUGCCUUCGGGAACUCUGAGACAGGUGCUGCAUGGCUGUCGUCAGCUCGUGUUGUGAAAUGUUGGGUUAAGUCCCGCAACGAGCGCAACCCUUAUCCUUUGUUGCCAGCGGUUCGGCCGGGAACUCAAAGGAGACUGCCAGUGAUAAACUGGAGGAAGGUGGGGAUGACGUCAAGUCAUCAUGGCCCUUACGAGUAGGGCUACACACGUGCUACAAUGGCGCAUACAAAGAGAAGCGACCUCGCGAGAGCAAGCGGACCUCAUAAAGUGCGUCGUAGUCCGGAUUGGAGUCUGCAACUCGACUCCAUGAAGUCGGAAUCGCUAGUAAUCGUGGAUCAGAAUGCCACGGUGAAUACGUUCCCGGGCCUUGUACACACCGCCCGUCACACCAUGGGAGUGGGUUGCAAAAGAAGUAGGUAGCUUAACCUUCGGGAGGGCGCU
rnacentral:rRNA from 1 species